UACGUAGGGUGCAAGCGUUGUCCGGAAUUAUUGGGCGUAAAGAGCUCGUAGGCGGUUUGUCGCGUCUGCUGUGAAAAUCCAGGGCUUAACCCUGGACCUGCAGUGGGUACGGGCAGACUGGAGUGCGGUAGGGGAGAUCGGAAUUCCUGGUGUGGCGGUGAAAUGCGCAGAUAUCAGGAGGAACACCGGUGGCGAAGGCGGUUCUCUGGGAAUGUCCUGACGCUGAGGAGCGAAAGUGUGGGGAGCGAACAGG
rnacentral:rRNA from 1 species